rnacentral:lncRNA from 1 species
UUUUUUUUUUUUUUAUUAGCAUGGAAAAUCCAUAGCAAAAUUUAAAGCUGCAGGUGCCAUGUUAAGACUAAGGUCUUGCAAAAUGUGUAUCCUUACAGGAUGUGCAGGUAUCUUUGUAAAAUUCAUGGAAAGAGAAAGAGAAAACAAGGCGCACAGGCACAGGCUCCAGAGAGGCGGCGACCCCUGCUGCUCAGCCUUGUGCUUUCCCAGGUGCUUCCAUUACUCACCCUUAAUGAUGGUGGUUCUUACAGUGGCUGUCCCGGCAGGCCUGCCUCUGACUUCCUGGUGCACCAUCAUCUGCUGCUGCCUUCAGCCACUGCCAUAUUUUAUUCCUCCCCCUCCAUUUCUUACUUGAGUUGAAUUCAGGUGAGGUUGCUAGAUUUACCAAAUAAAAAUACCGGAAGCCCAGUUAAAUUUGGAUUUCAGAUAAACAUUGAGGAAUUUUUAUAGCAUAAGUAUGUUCCAUGCAAUACUAGGACAUAGUUAUACUAAAAAUAAUCUGUUAUUUGUCGGAAAUUCAAAUUUAAGUAGGUGUUUUGUGUUUUAUCUGGUAAGCUUAUUUAAGGAAAAGGAAUUACCAUUUCCAGUUGCCUGACUCAGGAGGGGCAUUUUCUUUUAGAAAGGAACACAUUUUGCCGUAUAAAUAAGGACAGGCUUAUCUGCAUACACCUGUGCUAUCUAUUAAGCUAGUCACUAGCCACCUAUCGAGGACCUAAAAUGGGACUCGUCUGAAUUGUGUAAAUACCGAGUUUUGAAGAAUUUGUGUGAAAGAGACUAUAAGAUGUUUCAAUGUUUUUUUAACAAAUAGGUUAUAUGCUGAAAUGAUUUUGGAGGUACUGGGUUAAAAAGUAUUAUCAACUCUCUUUUCCGGCUGGAACCAUGGAGGGUGUCGAAGGGAAGAAGAAGGUUCCUGCUGUGCCAGAAUCCCUUAAGAAAAAGUGAAGGAAUUUCGCAGAGCUGAAGAUCAAGCACCUGAGAAAUAAGUUUGCCCAAAAGAUGCUUCAAAAGGCAAGGAGGAAGCUUAUCUCUGAAAAAGCAAUAUAUCACAAGGAAUAUAGGCAGAUGUACAGAACUGAAAUUCGAAUGGCGAGGAUGGCAAGAAAAGCUGGCAACUUCUGUGUACCUGCAGAACCCAAACUGGCGUUUGUCUUCAGGAUCAGAGGUUAUCAACUGGGUGAGCCCAAAGGUCUGAAAGGUGUUGCAACUUCUUCGCCUUCGUCAAAUCUUCAAUAGAAACUUUGUGAAGCUCAGCAGGGAUUCAAUAGCAUGCUGAGGUUUGUAGAACCAUAUAUUGCCUGGGCAUACCCAAAUCAGAAGUCAGUAAAUAAACUAAUCUACAAAUGUGGCUAUAGCAAAAUCAAUAAGAAGCUACUUGCUCCGACAGAUAAUACUUUGAUUGCUCUGUCUCUUGGUUAAUAUGGCAUCAUCUACAUAGAGGAUCUGAUUCAUGAGAUCUAUACUGUUGGAAAAAAUAACUUCCUGUGGACCUUCAAAUUAUCCUCUCAACAAGGUGGAAUGAAGAAAAAGACCACCAAUUUUGUAGAAGGUGGAGAUGCUGACAACAGGGAAGACCAGAUCCAUAGGCCUAUUAGAAGAAUAAACGUGCCUACCACGAUUAUUUUUUCUAAUCUUGUCCAUUAAUAAACAGUACCUGCCCUCAAAUUGAAAAAAAACCCACAAAACCGAAAAGUAUUAUUAAGAUUAAUGUAGUCUGUUUCUUUUUCCUCUUUGACUGUGGCUGCUAGGAAAUUUAAGAUGGCAUAGGUAGCUUGCAUUCACAGUCCACAUUCCAUGGCCACUGGACAGUGCUGGCCUGGAGCCGGAGCCAAGUCAGGGAGACAUAAUGACCAUCAGGCCAGGAGCAAAGUGCCAACCUUUCCAGAAAGUGUGAGAUUCUCCUCAUUAUAAGCUUGUGGCUUAAGUGGCUGGGGGGGUACAGAUUCCUUGAAUGUGGUAUUUA